CCGUGACAGACCCCUGGGGCAGCUCCAAAGCCACUUAGCACAGGCAUGGAGCGGGGCCAGGAGGAGAUGCUGGCACCAAAAGAGCAGCUCUAGCAAGUCUAGCGCACCAUUCUGCUAGGGGACAGGUUCGGAUGGGCUCAGACCCCAGCAGCACACAGCUCCCACUUGUGCAGCGCUCUGACCGCCAGCCCUGGGGACAGCACGAGCCUCGUGCUCCCUGCACAGAAGAGCACACGCUGCGUGUGAGCCUCAGAAACCAUCUGUUAGUGACACAAAAACAUGCUGGCAGCGCUCAGCACCGCUUGGCAGGGAAACCUGUAUCAACUGUCUGCAGGCCAAGGUCUAAAGGGCAGUCCACCUCUGGAGACUUCUGCAGCUUUGAGGAGCUCUCAUCUUGCAGCUGGUGGGUGCCCUCGCAGCACAUAGCCCUGGCAGUGCUGCUCCAUGCCUUGAGUGUGCCCCAGGAGGACCAGGGAGGAGAGCAAAUGGAGCACCCCGAGAGUGCCGUCAUUCCUGCUGCCUGAGCACAUCACCUCGCAGCUCUCCACUCACUUCACCUUCACGUAACCACGCAGUGUGCACGGCACUCAUUUGGCUCCCGGCUCUGGAAUGCCAUCACAGUCCCAGAGGCCCUUUGGGGUGCUGUGGCUGCACUCAGGUGGCCCCAAACCCAACGGCAG
ensembl:lncRNA